rnacentral:lncRNA from 1 species
UUAACUUGUGGCACUGUGUUAUGAUUACGUGUUCAUAUUUCUUCUCUUGGGUCGGCCAAAUAACCCUGUCAGUACAUCACUAUUUUCCUAAGUACUAAUACUACACCUGUUCUUAUUUUUAAUGAGUGCAGCUCAUAUUCCAGCGACUCCUGCAAAACCUCACUUGUAACUAAAGCAUUAGAUUUGGAUUCAAGACUGGAG